CAAAACUAGAGAAGGAGCGAGAGAGGCAUAAAAUAAUUUUUACCAAGUAGAUGUUUUUAGUGCAACAUUGUAUAAUUAAAUUUUUAUAGUAAACUUCAGAGUUUUGAGAUGGAGCAAGAAUAGAGGGAACAAUGAGCAGGAGGGGCUGUUUCAGUGGCAUCACAGUGUUCCCAGGGCUGGUGGACCAUGGGGGCAGGUAGCGUCCAGAGCUGGAGGAUGGAAAGCACAAGUUCCCUAAGCAAGUCUAAAAAAGCGAUGGAACCUUGAAGACAUGUAGUCAACAGCCUUAAACAGAAGGCUUGAGAACACUGGAGUAAGUCACUGCUGUAAACGUGUACAUCCUGACCAUAAAAUACCAUUGGGCUGCAGAAAUCAGUCGUGGAAUUCAAGUAGAUGAGAGAUCCUGGAUCAUGGAACCCUUCUCUACCUCACUACCACACGCAGUUUUUCUUGUAUGGGUUUUAAUUCUUCCUGCCACCAUGGAUUUUGUUUCUGAAAUCUUAUGGAGGAUGUGCUGUAUCUGUGCUUGUGGAAGAGGAAGCACAGGUUACCCAAGGGUGUUGGUGAUAGAGAGGUGCUGAGGGAGGGACCUCCAGUGGGGCAGAGGCUGCCUGGGCACUGAGCUAAAGGCACCCAGGAAGAGAGGCCAUCUGUGAAAAU
rnacentral:lncRNA from 1 species